UACGGGGGGGGCAAGCGUUGUUCGGAAUUACUGGGCGUAAAGGGCUCGUAGGCGGCCAACUAAGUCAGACGUGAAAUCCCUCGGCUUAACCGGGGGAACUGCGUCUGAUACUGGUUGGCUUGAAUCCGGGAGAGGGAUGUGGAAUUCCAGGUGUAGCGGUGAAAUGCGUAGAUAUCUGGAGGAACACCGGUGGCGAAGGCGGCAUCCUGGACCGGUAUUGACGCUGAGGUGGCGAAAGCGUGGGGAGCAAACAGG
rnacentral:rRNA from 1 species